rnacentral:tRNA from 1 species
GGUGGCUCAGUGGUACAGCACUUGUCUUGCAUGCAUGAGACCCUGGGUUCGAUUCCUCAGCACCA